UACGUAGGGUGCAAGCGUUUAAUCGGAAUUACUGGGCGUAAAGCGUGCGCAGGCGGUCCGUUAAGACAGAUGUGAAAUCCCCGGGCUUAACCUGGGAACUGCAUUUGUGACUGGCGGACUCGAGUAUGGCAGAGGGGGGUAGAAUUCCACGUGUAGCAGUGAAAUGCGUAGAGAUGUGGAGGAAUACCGAUGGCGAAGGCAGCCCCCCUGGGCCAAUACUGACGCUCAUGCACGAAAAGCGUGGGGAGCA
rnacentral:rRNA from 1 species